rnacentral:tRNA from 1 species
GGGCCGGUAGAUCAAUGGCAGAUCGUUGCCUUCGCGAGGCAAAGGCUGCGGGUUCGAAUCCCGCCCGGUCCA